CCUACGGGAGGCUGCAGUGGGGAAUAUUGCACAAUGGGCGCAAGCCUGAUGCAGUCAUGCCGCGUGUGUGAAGAAGGCCUUCGGGUUGUAAAGCACUUUCAGCGGGGAGGAAGGCGGUGAGGUUAAUAACCUCAUCGAUUGACGUUACCCGCAGAAGAAGCACCGGCUAACUCCGUGCCAGCAGCCGCGGUAAUACGGAGGGUGCAAGCGUUAAUCGGAAUUACUGGGCGUAAAGCGCACGCAGGCGGUCUGUCAAGUCGGAUGUGAAAUCCCCGGGCUCAACCUGGGAACUGCAUUCGAAACUGGCAGGCUAGAGUCUUGUAGAGGGGGGUAGAAUUCCAGGUGUAGCGGUGAAAUGCGUAGAGAUCUGGAGGAAUACCGGUGGCGAAGGCGGCCCCCUGGACAAAGACUGACGCUCAGGUGCGAAAGCGUGGGGAGCAAACAGGAUUAGAUACCCCAUAGUC
rnacentral:rRNA from 1 species